CCCUUAGAUGUUCUGGGCCGCACGCGCGCUACACUGAACAGUUCAACAAGUCUUAACCUUGGCCGACAGGCUCGGGCAAUCUUUGAACGCUGGUCGUGAUGGGGAUAGACUUUUGCAAUUUUUGGUCUUCAACGAGGAAUUCCUAGUAAACGCAAGUCAUCAACUUGCAUUGAUUACGUCCCUGCCCUUUGUACACACCGCCCGUCGCACCUACCGAUUGAAUGGUCCGGUGAAGCCUCCGGAUUGGCGCGCACCUCGGUGCCGCCGAGAAGUUGGCUAAACCUUACCAUUUAGAGGAAGGUGAAGUCGUAACA
rnacentral:rRNA from 1 species